rnacentral:rRNA from 1 species
CCCUUAGAUGUUCUGGGCUGCACACGUGCUACACUGGCAGGUUCAGCGAGCUUCAUGCCCUGAUCUGAAAGGAAUGGGAAAUCUUUUCAAAACCUGCCGUGCUUGGGAUAGAUGUUUGCAAUUAUUCAUCUUCAACGAGGAUUGCCUUGUAAGCGCACGUCAUCAGCGUGCAUUGAAUACGACCCUGUAUUCUGUACACACCGCCCGUCGCUCCUACCGAUUGAAGUUUUCGGUGAGUUGACAGGAGGAUUUUUUUGAAACUGGUUCGCCAGUGGAUUUUAGAUCUAAAUGCCAACGAAUCGAUGGCUUUAGAGGAAGGAGAAGUCGUAACA